rnacentral:rRNA from 1 species
AUUGAACGCUGGCGGCAUGCCUUACACAUGCAAGUCGAACGGCAGCACGGGUGCUUGCACCUGGUGGCGAGUGGCGAACGGGUGAGUAAUACAUCGGAACGUACCUUAUCGUGGGGGAUAACGCAGCGAAAGCUGUGCUAAUACCGCAUACGCCCUGAGGGGGAAAGCGGGGGAUCGAAAGACCUCGCGCGAUUAGAGCGGCCGAUGCCUGAUUAGCUUGUUGGUGGGGUAAAAGCCCACCAAGGCGACGAUCAGUAGCUGGUCUGAGAGGACGAUCAGCCACACUGGGACUGAGACACAGCCCAGACUCCUACGGGAGGCAGCAGUAGGGAAUUUUGGACAAUGGGGGCAACCCUGAUCCAGCAAUGCCGCGUGAGUGAAGAAGGCCUUCGGGCUGUAAAGCUCUUUUGUCAGGGAAGAAACACCGGCUCUAACACAGUCCGGGAAUGACGGUACCUGAAGAAUAAGCACCGGCUAACUACGUGCCAGCCGCCGCAGUAA